rnacentral:rRNA from 1 species
AAAGAGGAUUCGUCCAAUUGAAAUAGAGGACAGUGGCGGACGGGUGAGUAACGCGUGAGGAACCUGCCUUUCAGAGGGGGACAACAGUUGGAAACGACUGCUAAUACCGCAUAACGCGUAGAGGUCGCAUGGCCUUUACGCCAAAGAUUUAUUGCUGAAAGAUGGCCUCGCGUCUGAUUAGAUAGUUGGUGAGGUAACGGCCUACCAAGUCUACGAUCAGUAGCCGGACUGAGAGGUUGAACGGCCACAUUGGGACUGAGAUACGGCCCAAACUCC